UUGGUUAAGUUAGAAAGGGCGCACGGUGGAUGCCUUGGCACUAGGAGCCGAAGAAGGACGGGACUAACACCGAUAUGCUUUGGGGAGCUGUACGUAAGCGUUGAUCCAGAGAUUUCCGAAUGGGGGAACCCACUAUCUUUAGUCGGAUAGUAUCCUUACGUGAAUACAUAGCGUGAGGAAGGCAGACCCAGGGAACUGAAACAUCUAAGUACCUGGAGGAAGAGAAAGAAAAAUCGAUUUCCUGAGUAGCGGCGAGCGAAACGGAAAGAGCCCAAACCAAGAAGCUUGCUUCUUGGGGUUGUAGGACACUCUAUACGGAGUUACAAAAGAAAGUUAUAAAUGAAGCGGUCUGGAAAGGCCCGCCAAAGACGGUAACAGCCCGGUAGUUGAAAUGGCUUUCCCUCCAGAGUGGAUCCUGAGUACGGCGGAACACGUGAAAUUCCGUCGGAAUCCGGGAGGACCAUCUCCCAAGGCUAAAUACUCCCUAGUGACCGAUAGUGAACCAGUACCGUGAGGGAAAGGUGAAAAGCACCCCGGAAGGGGAGUGAAACAGUUCCUGAAACCGUGUGCCUACAAGUAGUUAGAGCCCGUUAAUGGGUGAUAGCGUGCCUUUUGUAGAAUGAACCGGCGAGUUACGAUUUGUUGCAAGGUUAAGCGGAAAAAGCGGAGCCGUAGCGAAAGCGAGUCUGAAUAGGGCGCAUAAGUAACAGGUCGUAGACCCGAAACCAGGUGAUCUACCCAUGUCCAGGAUGAAGGUAAGGUAAUACUUACUGGAGGUCCGAACCCACGCACGUUGAAAAGUGCGGGGAUGAGGUGUGGGUAGCGGAGAAAUUCCAAUCGAACUUGGAGAUAGCUGGUUCUCUCCGAAAUAGCUUUAGGGCUAGCCUCGAGGUAAAGAGUCAUGGAGGUAGAGCACUGUUUGGACUAGGGGCCCUUCUCGGGUUACCGAAUUCAGAUAAACUCCGAAUGCCAUGUACUUAUACUCGGGAGUCAGACUGCGAGUGAUAAGAUCCGUAGUCGAAAGGGAAACAGCCCAGACCACCAGUUAAGGUCCCCAAAUAUAUGUUAAGUGGAAAAGGAUGUGGGGUUGCUUAGACAACCAGGAUGUUGGCUUAGAAGCAGCCACCAUUGAAAGAGUGCGUAAUAGCUCACUGGUCGAGUGACCCCGCGCCGAAAAUGUACCGGGGCUAAACAUAUUACCGAAACUGUGGAUGAACCUCUUUAGAGGUUCGUGGUAGGAGAGCGUUCUAAGGGCGGUGAAGUCAGACCGGAAGGACUGGUGGAGCGCUUAGAAGUGAGAAUGCCGGUAUGAGUAGCGAAAGAAGGGUGAGAAUCCCUUCCACCGAAUAUCUAAGGUUUCCUGAGGAAGGCUCGUCCGCUCAGGGUUAGUCGGGACCUAAGCCGAGGCCGAUAGGCGUAGGCGAUGGACAACAGGUAGAGAUUCCUGUACCAGUGCUAAUUGUUUAACCGAUGGGGUGACACAGAAGGAUAGGGAAUCGCACGAAUGGAAAUGUGCGUCCAAGCAGUGAGUGUGAGAAGUAGGCAAAUCCGCUUCUCGCGAAGCAUGAGCUGUGAUGGGGAAGGAAAUUAAGUACGGAAGUUCCUGAUUUCACGCUGUCAAGAAAAGCCUCUAGGAAGAGUAGUACUGCCCGUACCGCAAACCGACACAGGUAGAUGAGGAGAGAAUCCUAAGGUGAGCGAGAGAACUCUCGUUAAGGAACUCGGCAAAAUGACCCCGUAACUUCGGGAG
rnacentral:rRNA from 1 species